UACGUAGGGCGCAAGCGUUAUCCGGAAUGAUUGGGCGUAAAGCGUCCGCAGGUGGCUAUGUAAGUCUGCUGUUAAAGAGUGAGGCUCAACCUCAUAAGAGCAGUGGAAACUACAUGGCUAGAGUGCGUUCGGGGCAGAGGGAAUUCCUGGUGUAGCGGUGAAAUGCGUAGAUAUCAGGAAGAACACCGGUGGCGAAAGCGCUCUGCUAGGCCGCAACUGACACUGAGGGACGAAAGCUAGGGGAGCGAAUGGG
rnacentral:rRNA from 1 species